UGCAUUUUUUGGUAAGACGAUGUUAACAAAAGUUGUUCGUCUUGAUGAGGGCUACAACUUUGCUUAAUAUCCUUUUAACAAAUUAUGCGUAUUUAAGGAGAUAGGGCUGCGCAUGCGCAGAACGUAUCUCCUUACCUUUGCACUUUUUGGUAAGAAGAUGUUAACAAAGUUGUUUGUCUUGAUGAGGGCUACAACUUUGCUUAAUAUCCUUUUAACAAAUUAUGCG
rnacentral:miRNA from 1 species